rnacentral:rRNA from 1 species
AUUCGCCUUUACGGUUACCUUGUUACGACUUAGCCCCCCUCACCCAAUUCAUGUUCGACAACCCCAAGAAGGGUCGCCUCACACGAACCGGAUUUGGGUGACUUGACGGGCGGUGUGUGCAAGGAGCGGGGACUUAUUCACCGCUCGAUGUUGACAAGCGAUUACUAGGCAUUCCAGCUUCAUGAGGGCGAGUUUCAGCCCUCAAUCCGAACUUAGCGUAUGUUUGGGGGAUUAGCUUCCCCUCUCGGGGUUGCCGCCCAUUGUCAUACGCAUUGUAUGCCACGUGUGGCCCAGGAGAUUCAGGCCAUACUGACCUACCGUCGCCCCCUCCUUCCUCCCAUUUAACACGGGCAGUCCGCACAGGGUGCACCUCCCCCGGAGGGGAAGUUCGCAACAGUGCGCGGGGGUCUCGCUCGUUACAGGACUUAACCUGACAGUUCGCACCACGAGCUGACGAUGGCCAUGCAGCACCUCUCGGCUCGUUAGGCAAGAUCUUUAGUCUGACCUUCAUCCUGCCGUCGCCCCUGGUAAGAUUCCUGGCGUUGUAUCCAAUUGAACCGCAGCAUCCACGCCUUGUGGUGCUCCCCCGCCAAUUCCUUUAAGUUUCAACCUUGCGGCCGUACUCCCCAGGUGGCGGACUUAACACCUACGCUACAGCACUGCAACGACUCGAAGUCGUUGCAACACCACAGUCCGCAUAAUUUACUGCUAGGGCUACUCGGGUAUCUAAUCCGAUUCGUUCUCCUAGCCUUCGUCCCUCACGGUCGGACGCGUUUUGGCCCGGCGCCUUCGCCACUGGUAGUCCUGGCAGAUUACAGCAUUUUACCGCUACCCCGCCAGUACUC